ensembl:lncRNA
GUCCGCGGAAGUGCCUUUUGUCGAUGGAGGAUCACUAACAGGAGCGUGGAAGACUCCAGAAUCCACUCUGGCUGGAAUCCGGUGGAUAUGCAGUGUGUACAGAACAGUUCUCCACAGUCGCUGUCCACAUGGGUCAGUGGGACCAAGAAGCACUCUGCUAAUGUGUGGACUCUGACCAGCAACAUCCAGCAAGACCCAGACAGCGUUUUCUAUCUCCCAGCUGGAGUUUUUGUUUGUCUGUGACUGGAGAGUCAGAUUUUUGUUGAGCUUCACACUUGCAGAGGUUAAUACACUCUACUGAUCCCUGAUGGGAGAAUCAUCAAUUUUGGCAACAAAGAAGCCUGGUGGAUGUUUGUUUACAGUCUGAUGAUGGGACAUCAUGCUCUGCAUCUUCAAAGUUUGCCUCCUCAUUAUUAUUCAUACCCAGUAAUGUGAAGUAUGCUCAUAUCUACUAUAACUGAACCAACCUGGUGCUCUUCAUUUAUGGAGGCUGUUGAGUCUGAAUGUUGGAUGUUGUGUAUCUCGUGUUCUCUGGGCUUUGUUGUCCUCAGUCUUUUCACAGGAUCAGAAAACAAAACCAGGAGGCGCGUACAUGUUUCUUCUCCAUGAUGUUUCUUCAAAUGUUUCUUCUGGAUGAUGAUAAGACUGACACGGGAUGCCACCUUUGGUCUUGUGAUGAAGCAAAGCUCAGGAAGAAGUGGGAUUAAAUGGUACCCACAUGUGUGCUGCUGAGAAGGAUGUACAGGGGCACCUGCAGCCAAAUCCAAGCCUCAGAGCAGAGCAGCAGUUUGUGCUCACAGAUGGUGACGGUGUGGAGAGACGGUGGUGUUUCCUCAGAAGAACCAGCAGAGUCACAAAGGACACCAGUCCAUCUCACCACCUUGACUUGCUGACUGAUGCUCGUCUGCACUGCACAGAGGAAAUCAGCUGACCGAGGAGUGUUUCUGAGUGAGGGGGGAGGAGUCAUCAUCCAGGUAAAGUGACGUAGAUCCGUGGACACACUUGUCUCCCCUUUAAAGGAGACGAUCCAAGUCAUCCUUAAAUAUGGGCAGCAUAUCAGUCUUGGACUGUCUAACCUGCAGCACUGAAUGACCACCACACAUGAGCAUGUUCCUGCAACAUUCAGCAUCUGAUCCUUCAUCUGUGUGCUUCUGCUUUUGUGUCACAUGUCAAACAGCUGGAGAGGAAACUACACCAGUGUACUGGGAUGUUUCAGCAACACGUGCCAGAUGCUGUUCCUUCAUGGUGACAUCACCAGAGACAGUCCCGCCCACCUCAGGACCUCGCCAUUGAUCAUGAUGAUUAUAAUGAUGACAGCGAGCGGAACUAAGACUGUAAAAAUCCACGACCAGAAUGUUUCUUUCUAAUUAUUAAUGAAUACUGAGAGCCUCUUUCUCUGUUUUGUCUGUUUUGGGGUUGUUUUUUUUACCUCAUUUGUUUCUAACAAAGUUCACAAACUCACACAGUUUACAUUCUGUAUGUUUCCAUCUUUACCAGCCACACUCUAACUGCAUUUAAGAAAAUAAUCCUUAGAAAUCGUCGUUUUUCUCUUUUGUAAUUGAUGAUAAUUCAGUGAAUAUACUGCGCUGCUUCCUUUUAUUGCGUCACACAUUGCUUUAAGUUUUUCAGUGUCCAGUUAUUUUUUACUGCUGUUUGAAUUCUCUGAAUGUUUGACCCUGUAGACUGUUUGAUGGACUGCUUGUCUUCCUGUUUGUUACCGCCGCCUGUUUUUUAAUAAAGAUUUGGAUUUCUGACUUCAAC